GAAGACUAAGGAUCUUAUCAAGGAGCAUGUUGAGAGUGAAGAUGAUGCUGCAGAGUAAUAAUGUUGACACUGUGAUAUCUCGAUACCAAUAGCUUCGGUUUGUCCACGUCAUCGUGAGGUGGAGUGCCAAAAUGCCUGAAGCUUAUGACAUGGGUGAAGCUGCAAGUGCAAUGCAAGUGCUGUGCUCCGUGAAUAGCAAGCCCAUUUGGGGAAUGUAUUUGAACAAUGACCCAAGCAGUCGCACAAGCAGAUCUGCACAUAUUAUUACCAAGGUUGCGAACCAGAUGCGCCAUUGACGGCGAUGGCAGGUUUGGAUUGGGAAGGAGAAGAUGAGAAGAUAGUUGGGGAGUAAGAAGGUGUAAAAUCGACAAUAUCGUCUUAUGUGCAUGAGGAUCCUAAUGGUAUAUG